rnacentral:rRNA from 1 species
GACGAACGCUGGCGGCGUGCUUAACACAUGCAAGUCGAACGGAAAGGCCCUGCUUUUGUGAGGUGCUCGAGUGGCGAACGGGUGAGUAACACGUGAGUAACCUGCCCUUGACUUUGGGAUAACUUCAGGAAACUGGGGCUAAUACCGGAUAGGGGCUCCUGCUGCAUGGUGGGGGUUGGAAAGUUUCGGCGGUUGGGGAUGGACUCGCGGCUUAUCAGCUUGUUGGUGGGGUAGUGGCUUACCAAGGCUUUGACGGGUAGCCGGCCUGAGAGGGUGACCGGCCACAUUGGGACUGAGAUACGGCCCAGACUCCUACGGGAGGCAGCAGUGGGGAAUAUUGCACAAUGGGCGGAAGCCUGAUGCAGCAACGCCGCGUGCGGGAUGACGGCCUUCGGGUUGUAAACCGCUUUCGCCUGUGACGAAGCGUGAGUGACGGUAAUGGGUAAAGAAGCACCGGCUAACUACGUG